UAACACAUCUAGCCUCAAAGUACAGAUAGAGAGAAAUAAACUCUCACAUAGUGGAUUCAAGAUCGGAGAAAUAAACUCCUUAAUAAUUAAGCAACGCCAUAGAGAAUAGGAAAAAUAAAUUCCUAUGUAAACAUGCAUAUCAUAAGUAGUAGAAAAGUAAAUUCUACCUACUCCCCCUCAAUAUAUGCAUAAACUUCACUCCCUCUCAAAACUUGCAUAUCACAUAGAACAGACAUG
rnacentral:lncRNA from 1 species